GUUCCUGUAGUGCAAUGGAUAGCACUUGGGACUUCUAAUCCAAAGGUCGUGGGCUGGGAUGCCACCUGGGAUG